GAGGAAGUAAAAGUCGUAACAAGGUUUCCGUAGGUGAACCUGCGGAAGGAUCAUUAACAAAUGCGAAACAGAGGGGUUGUCGCUGGCCCUUUUGGGCAUGUGCACGCCCCUUUGAGUUCAAACUUAAACCUGUGAACCAACGGCGGAUGGGUUUCAAAGCACUGCGGUGUUGGAGGGACCUUUCCUGCUCAUCAUAUACCCAUUGUAUGUCUAGAAUGUCUGUCUGCGUAUUUUCGCAACAUAUACAACUUUCAGCAACGGAUCUCUUGGCUCUCGCAUCGAUGAAGAACGCAGCGAAAUGCGAUAAGUAAUGUGAAUUGCAGAAUUCAGUGAAUCAUCGAAUCUUUGAACGCACCUUGCACGCUCCGGUAUUCCGGAGCGUAUGCCUGUUUGAGUGUCGUGGCAUCAUCAAACUGCCCACGUUUUUGGACGUGCGACAGCUUGGAUCUGGAGGUGUUGUCGGCCCUUUGUUUGGGUUUUGGCUCCUCUCAAAUGCAUUAGCUGGGACAUUUGGUCCAAAGGCUCUGACGUGAUAGUUAUGUUGCGUCGUGGCUGGAAGGGCUCCCUUGUUUGCCCGCUUCUAAUCGUCCGCGAGGACAGCUCACAUUGACCUUUGACCUCAAAUCAGGUAGGAUUACCCGCUGAACUUAAGCAUAUCAAU
rnacentral:rRNA from 1 species